GUUGUGGUUAAUGAUGUCUCUCUUUUUUCCCCGUCUUAUCGACCAUGGUGAUUUGUUCUGAAAAUAAGCCAAUUCAUCUGAAACCACACA